AACGAACGCUGGCGGCAGGCUUAACACAUGCAAGUCGAGCGCCCCGCCAGGGGAGCGGCAGACGGGUGAGUAACGCGUGGGAACGUACCUUUUGGUUCGGAACAACUCCGGGAAACUGGAGCUAAUACCGGAUAAGCCCUAACGGGGAAAGAUUUAUCGCCGAAAGAUCGGCCCGCGUCUGAUUAGCUAGUUGGUGAGGUAACGGCUCACCAAGGCGACGAUCAGUAGCUGGUCUGAGAGGAUGAUCAGCCACACUGGGACUGAGACACGGCCCAGACUCCUACGGGAGGCAGCAGUGAGGAAUAUUGGACAAUGGGCGCAAGCCUGAUCCAGCCAUGCCGCGUGAGUGAUGAAGGCCUUAGGGUUGUAAAGCUCUUUUGUCCGGGAAGAUAAUGACUGUACCGGAAGAAUAAGCCCCGGCUAACUUCGUG
rnacentral:rRNA from 1 species